UACGUAGGUGGCAAGCGUUGUCCGGAAUUAUUGGGCGUAAAGCGCGCGCAGGCGGUUCUUUAAGUCUGAUGUGAAAGCCCACGGCUCAACCGUGGAGGGUCAUUGGAAACUGGGGAACUUGAGUGCAGAAGAGGAAAGCGGAAUUCCACGUGUAGCGGUGAAAUGCGUAGAGAUGUGGAGGAACACCAGUGGCGAAGGCGGCUUUUUGGUCUGUAACUGACGCUGAGGCGCGAAAGCGUGGGGAGCAAACAGG
rnacentral:rRNA from 1 species